rnacentral:rRNA from 1 species
CGCACAAAUAGAGUGAUGGAAAGAUGAAAAGCACUAUGAAAAGAGAGUCAAACAGUACGUGAAAUUGUUGANNNNNAAGCGCUUGCAAUCAGACUCGUUUGUAGAAGUUCAGCCUUCUUUCGAGAUGGUGUAUUCUUCUGUCAACGGCCCAGCUUCNGUUUCGGCGGUUGGAUAAAGAUUUUGAGAACGUACCGCUCCGCNNGAAGAGUUAUAGCUCGGAGUGUAAUGCAGCAGCAGAGGCUGAGGUCCGCGCUUUUGCUAGGAU